rnacentral:rRNA from 1 species
UACGGAGGGUGCAAGCGUUGUUCGGGAUUUACUGGGCGUAAAGCGCGCGCAGGUGGAUGGACAAGUCGGAAGUGAAAUCUUGAGGCUCAACCUCGAGGCUGCUCCCGAAACUGUUCGUCUAGGGACUGGUAGAGGCUGGUAGAAUUCCCGGUGUAGCGGUGGAAUGCGUAGAGAUGGGGAAGAAUCCUGUGGCGAAGGCG